AGGGCGUAUGGCGGAUGCCUAGGCUCACGGAGGCGAUGAAGGACGUGAUAAGCUGCGACAAGCCCUGGGUAGGUGCAAAUGACCGUUGAUCCAGGGAUUUCCGAAUGGGACAACCCGGCAGUCUGAAGGACUGUCAUCCGGAUGAAUAUCCGGAGGCGAACGGAGGGAACUGAAACAUCUUAGUACCUCCAGGAAGAGAAAAUAAACAAUGAUUCCCCCAGUAGUGGCGAGCGACCGGGGAAGAGCCCAAACCGGUGUUGUCAAGGCAACGCCGGGGUUGUAGGACCGCGCUGUGGUACUUCAAUCGUGAACAGAAUGGACUGGAAAGUCCUGCCGUAGAGGGUGAAAGCCCCGUACGUGAAGCGAGCGAAGGCCUAGCGGUAUCCUGAGUAAGGCGGGACACGAGGAAUCCUGCCCGAAUCCGCCGGGACCAUCCGGCAAGGCUAAAUACUCCCGUGAGACCGAUAGUGUACCAGUACCGUGAGGGAAAGGUGAAAAGCACUUCGACGAGAAGAGUGAAAGAGAUCCUGAAACCAUGCGCCUACAAGCGGUCGGAGCAUCCAUGGGAUGUGACGGCGUGCCUUUUGCAUAAUGAACCUACGAGUUGCCGUCGCCAGCGAGGUUAAGUCCCACGAGGGACGAAGCCGUAGUGGAAGCGAGCCUGAAGAGGGCGUCAAGUUGGCGGAGGCAGACGCGAAACCAAGUGAUCUACACUUGUCCAGGUUGAAGUCCCGGUAACACGGGAUGGAGGACCGCACCAAUAAGCGUUGAAAAGCUUCUGGAUGAGGUGAGUGUAGGAGUGAAAGGCCAAUCAAACUUGGAGAUAGCUCGUACUCCCCGAAAGGCAUUUAGGUGCCGCGUGGGAAGGUCAGCGUGAGAGGUAGAGCGACCGAUAGGUCAAGAGGGCUUCACCGCCUAUCGAGACCUGACGAACUCCGAAUGCUCACGCUUUGUAUUCCUGCAGUAAGGGGGCGGGUGCUAAGGUCCGUCCCCGAGAGGAGAAGAAUCCGGACCGCCGUCUAAGGUCCCGAAGUUCUGUCUGAGUUAGUCUAACGAAGUGUGGUCCCUGAGACAGCCAGGAUGUUGGCUUGGAAGCAGCCAUUCAUUCAAAGAGUGCGUAACAGCUCACUGGUCGAGGGUCCGUGCAUGGAUAAUAAUCGGGUAUAAGACAGACACCGAAGGCGCGGGAUAGCAAAUUAUAAAAGUAUCGGUAGGGGAGCAUUCCAUCGGCGUAGAAUGCAGGAGGUGACUUCUGCUGGAGCUUAUGGAAAAGCAAAUGUAGGUAUAAGUAACGAUUAGGAGGGCGAGAACCCCUCCCGCCGAACGACUAAGGUUUCCCAGGCAAUGCCAUUCAUCCUGGGGUCAGUCGGGUCCUAAGGCUAAGCCGAGCGGCGAGGCCGAUGGCAGACACGGUCAACAUUCCGUGACUACCGCCAUCAGUGAUGUCCAGACGGAGCAGUGACACCUCCGCGCCCUGACGGAAUAGGGCGUUGAAGGGCGUAGGCUAUGAUGAUGCCAGGCAAAUCCGGCAUCAGAGCUGAAACCUGAAAGUACGGGGUCCCCUUCGGGGGAACCUGACAGCGAGGGUAACCAUACUCCCGAGAAAAUGGGCUAAACUCAUGUUGGCGGUACCCGUACCGCAAACCGACACAGGUAGUUGGGUAGAACAUACUAAGGCGUUGAGAGAUUCAUGGCUAAGGAACUAGGCAAACUGACCCCGUAACUUCGGGAUAAGGGGUCCUCACCUCCGGGUGAGGCGCAGAGAAUAGGUCCAGGCAACUGUUUAACAAAAACACAGGGCUGUGCGAACUCGAAAGAUGAAGUAUACAGCCUGACACCUGCCCGGUGCCGGAAGGUUAAGAGGAGAUGUCACCGCAAGGGAAGCAUUGAAUUGAAGCCCCGGUAAACGGCGGCCGUAACUAUAACGGUCCUAAGGUAGCGAAAUUCCUUGUCGGGUAAGUUCCGACCUGCACGAAUGGUGUAAUGAUCUGGACGCUGUCUCAACCGUGAGCUCAGUGAAAUUGUAGUAUCGGUGAAGAUGCCGAUUACCCGCGAUGGGACGAAAAGACCCCGUGAACCUUUACUACAGCUUAGCAUUGACCUUGGUCAUCCGAUGUGUAGGAUAGGCCGGAGGCUUCGAAGCGGCGUCGCCAGGCGUUGUGGAGCCAUCCUUGAAAUACGGCCCUUUGGCUGUCUGAGGUCUAACGCGGAGAGUCGCGGACACUGCUUGGUGGGUAGUUUGACUGGGGUGGUCGCCUCCAAAAGCGUAACGGAGGCUUCCAAAGGUGCCCUCGGGCCGUUUGGUAAGCGGCCUUCAAGAGUGCAAUGGCAAAAGGGCGCUUGACUGGGAGGGAGACAUCCCGAGCAGGCAGGAAACUGGGGCAUAGUGAUCCGGCGGAUGUGUAUGGAAACUCCGUCGCUCAAAGGAUAAAAGGUACUCCGGGGAUAACAGGCUGAUCCCCCCCAAGAGCUCAUAUCGACGGGGUGGUUUGGCACCUCGAUGUCGGCUCGUCACAUCCUGGGGCUGGAGAAGGUCCCA
rnacentral:rRNA from 1 species